GUAUUACUUCCUCCGUCCAACAAAAGAUGUCUCAAAUUUGUCAAAAUUUGGAUGUAUCUAGACAUGACUUAGUGUAUAUAAGCAUUCAAAAUUUGUUAAAGUUGAGGCAUAUUUUAUUGGACAGAGGAAGUACUAG
rfam:Brachypodium distachyon strain Bd21 chromosome 1, whole genome shotgun sequence.